rnacentral:misc_RNA from 1 species
GGCAGUUGCAUUUCAUAUGUUGUUGAUUGUGGCAGGAUCGCGUCUUUAUCGAGUUUAGUGGUUGUGGAUUGCGACCAAAAGAAACUGCUCUUUUCGAUGUUUUCCUCCUGUAUGUGCAGAAUUUGAUGACAUUUUAUUAUGCAAACAAAAUGAAACUACCCAAUAGCACACUGGAGGCCAAUUCUGUGGAUUUGGAUCUCUGACCAGAAGGUUUGAACUACUUUGUGGUCUAUGCAAAUAAAAGAAUAAAAAAAAGACUUCCCUGUAGAAUUGAGAACAGGAAGACUUUA